rnacentral:lncRNA from 1 species
GCCGGGCUAGGCGAGCCGACCGCCAGCGAGGCCACAGAAGCCAAGCGCGCACACGGCGAUCUCGGGCCGCCCUCCGCCGGCUCCCCGCCGCUGACUGGGUGCUCACUUUAAUGCUGCGGGGAGCCCGGGAGCCCGGGGGCGCCUCGCUCCCCGUUCCCUCCCCAUCCCGUCAGGACUCUUGGCCUGGGGUCCUCCGCCCGGACCGCCCGGCUUUGUGUGGUGGCCCCGUCACCGCCACAGCCUGAGGCACGUCACAAAUCCGAGGAGCGGCCGACAGGACAGUCCUGGUCCCGGGCUCUUGGCGGAUCCGGGUCGGAUGCAACGCGCCCGCCCGCAGGGCUGCGGAUAGACCGGCCGGGGCAAGUCCCUAAGCUCUUCGGAUGUCCCCAACUCGGAGAGGGUUUAUGUUUGUUUUAACUGCCGGACUCCUCUUUCCAUCGGAAUGCCUACUCUGGGUUCUAAAAGAGGAUCUCAGCUGAUUUUCCACUUGCUGCUACUUUAUUUUGGUGUCUAAAGGCUGAUCAGAACUCCAGGGAGCGCCCGACUCCGCUCUGCUCCGCUCUAAGGCCAGCGGUGCCCAGAAGUUCAAAGGACUCUGGGCGGGGCUUGGAGGGCGGAGCCAGGACUACCCUGGCUAGAAGACCAAGCAUCCUGAGUGCUGAUACAAACGGCGUGCACCUCCACAAUGAGCAGAAGUGUGCAUCUUUCAAGUGAGCAACAAAAGACAUGAGGAGUGGAAGCCGCCCUGAAGGCUGCUUUGACUGCAUUGUUAGUGGCUGUCCCUAGACAAGUGAAAGCCCCUGGACUGUGGGAAAGACUGUAACAGGAUAUUGAUAUUUAUUAAGUGUUGGAAAAGUAACGUAACAGUUGAAGCGAGGACUCCUCUGGCCCUCUGUGGACCUCCACGAACGAUGACUUUCAUGGCAAGCUGAAGACAGGUCUAUGUGACUCCAUGACACAUGGUGUCUAUGUGACUCCAGCUCACCUCCUUGCCUCCUAAGUCGAUGAACCAGCAGAUUGAACCCAAAGCUCCAUGGUUGUUUAGGCCGGAGCUGCGACUUUACAGUGGAGACUUUGCAUUCACAGAGUUCUGCAUUCCGUUUCCAGCGCUGAGAACAUCCUGCUUUGUGCUGUGAAGAAACAUCACAAUUAAAGCAAAGUGCAUGAAAGACAAUCGUUAUACACAGACUUAUUAAGCUCCCACCAGGGUAAAGAAACAGGUUUUUACCAGCAUCCCAGGAGCCUCCAGUAUAUCCCUUCCCAAACAACCUCUGCCUCUUAGAAAUAACCAUUGCAUUUAUGGUAAUUAUGACAUUGGUUUCUAAUAGCUCUAUAAAAUUGAAAAAAAAAUUAUCCCAUUUUUCAAAAAUUAUGAUUGAAAUUCAAUUUUAUAAAUAUGUUGAAUUUUUAGAGGGUCACAUGACUUCUGGUUUAAGUUUAUUAAUGUGAUGAAGUAUCUUUGCAUUACUAGUGUAAGAUAAACCUAGUUGUAUUCAUUUCUUGUGGCUGAUGUAAUAAAUUUAAAACAACAACA